GGUGAGAUGGCCGAGCGGUCUAAGGCGCCAGACUAAGGACCAGGACAUUCGAUGUCCACCCCCAAGUUCUUCACUGAACAGUUAUCUGGUCCGAAAGGGCGUGGGUUCGAAUCCCACUCUCAUCA
rnacentral:tRNA from 1 species